CAUCAGGCAAGGCAAUAUAAUAUUCCAUUUUCUUCACGUGCUCAAAUUUGCUAAGCUAGUUCCUGAUUGUGGGAUACAUGGUUGGGCUCACAUAUUUUCCCACCGAUAGACAAGAGAUUACCAGAAAAGGGGUGAGGAAUCCAGAGAGAAUGUCUGCAUAAGAAGGAGGGUGGAGAUUUCUUACUGAACUAAAGGCUUCAAGAAUUGGCAAAUACCUGCUCAACUUUUGUAUUUCUGAUGACUGGAUGACUCCACCUGGACCCGAGACUCAUGACUCACCCAGUCCUGUGGCCCCACCCAGAAGUGGACUCAGAGCAAGAGGACCAUUUUCCACACCCCAAUGAGUGCAUCCCCAACCAAUCAGCAGCACCUGUUCCCUAGCCCCCUGACCACCAAACUCUCCUUGAGAAACCGUAGCCUCCAAAUUUUCUGGGAGGCUGAUUUGAGUAAUAAUAAAACUUUGGUCUCCUAUGUAGCUGGCUCUAUGUGUAUUAAACUCUUCCUCUAUUGCAAUUCCCCUGCCUUGGUAAGUCGG
rnacentral:lncRNA from 1 species